rnacentral:lncRNA from 1 species
ACAUAACAGGCAUCAAGAGGACUGCCACAAAAUACAAAAACAAAAACCAAACAAGACAACAACCUUCCAAACAGCAGCCCAGCUUCCACCACACCUCUCAGUCUUCAAUUCAGGCAGGAACCAUUAAUCAAAAGAGGAAGUAUCACCUUCACCUUCAUCUUCAUCUUCUGAACACUCAGAGCUUCCAGAGCAGCCACUGGAUUGUGCUUUUCCAUCUGAG